rnacentral:rRNA from 1 species
UACGUAGGGUGCAAGCGUUGUCCGGAAUCAUUGGGCGUAAAGAGCGUGUAGGCGGCCUUUUAAGUCCUGCGUGAAAUCCUGCGGCUCAACCGCAGACGGUCGUGGGAAACUGGAAGGCUAGAGUGCGGGAGAGGAGAGUGGAAUUCCCGGUGUAGCGGUGAAAUGCGCAGAUAUCGGGAAGAACACCCGUGGCGAAGGCGGCUCUCUGGAACGCAACUGACGCUGAGACGCGAAAGCGUGGGGAGCGAACAGG